CAUUAUUAUUUCAGAAACGAGUAAUGAAUCACUAUUGUCAAGUGACUAACGUCGACCUCUGAAUAACAUUGAAUUCCCCGAAUUGAGUUGAUUCUCGUGAACAACAUCGGCUGACCGUAUCGCUAUAUACCGCGUAGCGACACUGUCCCUCGAAAUCCGACUAAUUUCCGAAGUAACACGUUACACCCUCGAAAUAUCGCGCGCGUUGCACCGUGACGUGUCACCUUGAGACACAGAGAGACCGACUAGUAGAGUGUAGUUGACUCGGAGAAGAGCGCGCACGGUGUUGAACGUGCCGCGAAGAAGAAACACAUAAAAGAAAAGGAGGAAACGGUGCAGAAGAAGCGGCCGAGAGGAGGUGGUGGUGUUAUACACAGGAGGAGAAGGAGAAGGAGGAGGAAGAGGGAAAAAGAGAAACAGGCACGGAGGGUCGCGGAGCACGUGAAAGGCGAUUUAAAGGGAAAAAGAAGGAGGUGGCCUUUAAAAAAAACAACGAAGGAACAUGGCGAACCGGUCGCAGCCUCCAUUCGUCAGCUGGGAGCUCAGCUGCAGCCGGGCGCGGUGACCUCGACGGAGCUUCACGGAAAACCGAGUCAAUUUGCAAGCAAUAACGGUGUCAUACCGCGCGUACUUUUCAUCCGUGAUUUAACGACCUUUUGUAUCUUUCACACACACGAAAAUACUAUUACACAUUCGUGUUUCUCCACUUUCUUCUUUCUCUCAAUUUUUUUCUUUUUUUUUUCUUUUGUUUUUGUUUUUUUUUUUGUUAUUAAAUUUGUUACUUUUGAACAGUACGUAUACACACAUAUCGAUAGAUCGGCGAGUUGCUUUCGAUCGAGUGACCCGCCGACAUUCCGCGGAAACACGGUCAUCGGUCACUUUACAGGUGAUCGACAGUACCCCCGACCGACUGACAGUUCAACGACAUUCGUCUUUACCACUGUAUGGAAAAACGCGUUUCCCUUUACAUACUUUGUGUAAACGCUCUUAUCGAUAUCGAUCACGCCUUAAAUCCAAGAGAUCUCGACUUCAACGAAUCGCGAAAUCAUUCGAAAUCAUCCACGUUACUUAAUUAAUCGGAUAUUCGAUUCGACUAUGUUUAACAAAGCUUUUAUCCAUCACUCUCGAUUUUGAUCUACACUUAAGAGAAAUAUAUAGAAACAUGUAUGAUUUUAUCCUUAACUAAACAUGUCCAUGAUAUAAACAGUUAAGAAUUUUCAGUUCACUCACAAUUUGUAUAACGAACGUAAGAUCCACUAACGUGUCUGUUUACUAAGCGCCGUAAGUCGUUCAUCACGUUCGAUCUUAAUAUACACUUGAACAAAAAAUGUACAGAAACAUAAUAUAUAAUUCCAUUUAUAAUGUAUAACAUCGAACUGACAAGAUACUCGUCACGAACGUAUAUCAGAUAUACCGAUUUAACCGAUUUGACAACUGAUUUCCAAUUCACUCACAAUCUAUAUAUUAAAGUUCAAAUCGAUGAAACAAUCGGAAGAAAUAAAAGGCUCUCGCGGACUGUUACAAUUAAAGGUGAAAGAGGUUACAAGAUAGGGAUCGGAGCACCUCUCGGUAUCGUAAGAAAACUUCACGUAUUUACACGAAACGAGACUCCCGAAGAGCUAUCGCGAUGGCUACACAUAAUUUGAACGUGAAACGAAGGCGAAGGAAAGGAAUUACAGUUUUUAAAAGAAAGACGGUGAACCGGUCGGUGCGUCCGUUCAUCAGCUGAGAGCCCAGCUGAACCCAGCGGCCGCUGUAACCUCAACCUUUCUAAUAGGCUGUAUCGCAUGAAAAACGAUUAACCCUCAAUGUCCGCGAGUCCUCUAAAUACAGAUUAAGCUAAAAUACCUGUCAUUCGAGUUUCAUCUACGGGCGAACGACGGAAUGCACGAAAACACUGGAUUUUCAGAGAUAAAACUUUUUGAAAGCCCACUCACAAUGGAAUCUUCCAGUAGACUAGCCGAGCCGGCAAGCCGUUCUCUUUUGCGUGCUCACCCACCGUUUCACGCACUGUCUCACGUUUUACACCGUUAAUCCUUCUUUCGUAAACCGUUUCGACUUUUAAAACAGCGGAAGGCUCGAUGAUAAGGUUUAGCCCUCGUUUCGAUCAGUUAUAAAGUGCUUAUUUGCAGCAGAAACGCGGCGGUAUGCAUACCGCUGACAGUUCGAGCUGUCACUUUUUGACGACCGCGUACGUGCCGCCAUCUGAUGACGCUGCCAUUAGACAUUGAUGCGUUUGAAAGAACCGCGCUCAGAUCACCUAGCAACAAGAUCAAUAGACUAAGUUACAGCAAGUCGAGCAAUAACCAAUGUAUCUAUUAAUGAUCUAAUUAAUUAUUUAACUAAGGGUAGAUUAGUGACCGUAGAACUUCGUUUACUUUUUGUAUUGCUGUUUUAAUCGAGUACUUCCCACGGUGUUGAAUAACGAUCAAUUAAAAUAUUUCAUUCGAUUGAUUGAUUAAUUUUUAAUCUUCGAGAGUCGCAAUUGAUAAUUAUGUACUUAUCCUGAUCGGUAAUUCCAACUGUACUUCGAAUGAAGUAAACUUUAAUCAUUAAUUGUGACUGAUAAUCAGCCACUUAUAAUUGUAGUCAUCAAUAAUUGUAAUCGUUGAUCAUUAACUGCUACAAUAUAGCACAGCACUGACUUCCAGUACUGUUCUAAAACUUAUACCUGACGUUCAAGGAUUCAAAGGUACAAAGUUCCAUAUCUUUUUAAAACUGAAGAAUUAUAAUGAGGUAGAGUAACUGUACAAUUGCUCGAUUUUCAUUUAUGGAUUUAUUAUAACAAUCUCGUUCCGCUAGUACAAAAAACCGGACGUUCCCGCAAUCAUUUACAAGAUAUAACAUUUUAUACAAACAUUUGUGUUCUAGAAUGUUUACGCGAUUUUUUUCUUAUUUUGUACUUAACUCUCCUAUCACUUUGUUCCAAUACCUUUGUUCAGUGGUUCAUAUCACAAUUGUCUCAUAUUCUUGAGAUGGGAGUACAAACUGCUCACAAUACUCAAGAAAUAUUCGCAAUAUCAAUCGUGAGUGUACCAUUUUCUUCACGGUACACAAUUACACCUCACACAUACCACGUAUUUUCAUUUUUUAAA